AUUGAACGCUGGCGGCAGGCCUAACACAUGCAAGUCGAGCGGAUGACGGGAGCUUGCUCCUUGAUUCAGCGGCGGACGGGUGAGUAAUGCCCAGGAAUCUGCCUGGUAGUGGGGGACAACGUUUCGAAAGGAACGCUAAUACCGCAUACGUCCUACGGGAGAAAGCAGGGGACCUUCGGGCCUUGCGCUAUCAGAUGAGCCUAGGUCGGAUUAGCUAGUAGGUGAGGUAAUGGCUCACCUAGGCGACGAUCCGUAACUGGUCUGAGAGGAUGAUCAGUCACACUGGAACUGAGACACGGUCCAGACUCCUACGGGAGGCAGCAGUGGGGAAUAUUGGACAAUGGGCGAAAGCCUGAUCUAGCCAUGCCGCGUGUGUGAAGAAGGUCUUCGGAUUGUAAAGCACUUUAAGUUGGGAGGAAGGGCAGUAAGUUAAUACCUUGCUGUUUUGACGUUACCGACAGAAUAAGCACCGGCUAACUCUGUGCCAGCCGCCGCCGUAAGAC
rnacentral:rRNA from 1 species